rnacentral:rRNA from 1 species
AGUGAACGCUGGCGGUAGGCCUAGCACAUGCAAGUCGAACGGCAGCACAGUAAGAGCUUGCUCUUACGGGUGGCGAGUGGCGGACGGGUGAGGAAUACAUCGGAAUCUACUUUUUCGUGGGGGAUAAUGUAGGGAAACUUACGCUAAUACCGCAUACGACCUACGGGCGAAAGCAGGGGAUCUUCGGACCUUGCGCGAUUGAAUGAGCCGAUGUCGGAUUAGCUAGUUGGCGGGGUAAAGGCCCACCAAGGCGACGAUCCGUAGCUGGUCUGAGAGGAUGAUCAGCCACACUGGGACUGAGACACGGUCCAGACUCCUACGGGAGGCAGCAGUGGGGAAUAUUGGACAAUGGGCGCAAGCCUGAUCCAGCCAUACCGCGUGGGUGAAGAAGGCCUUCGGGUUGUAAAGCCCUUUUGUUGGGAAAGAAAAGCAGCAGGUUAAUACCCCGCUGUUCUGACGGUACCCAAAGAAUAAGCACCGGCUAACUUCGUG